rnacentral:rRNA from 1 species
UACGGGGGGAGCAAGCGUUGUUCGGAUUUACUGGGCGUAAAGGGCGCGUAGGCGGCCAGCACAAGUCAGUUGUGAAAUCUCCGGGCUUAACUCGGAAAGGUCAACUGAUACUGUGCGGCUAGAGUGCGGAAGGGGCAACUGGAAUUCUCGGUGUAGCGGUGAAAUGCGUAGAUAUCGAGAGGAACACCUGCGGCGAAGGCGGGUUGCUGGGCCGACACUGACGCUGAUGCGCGAAAGCCAGGGGAGUGAACGGG